UACGUAGGGGGCAAGCGUUGUCCGGAUUUAUUGGGCGUAAAGGGCGCGUAGGUGGCCCGGUCAGUUCGUGGUGAAAGCGCGGGGCUCAACCCUGCGUCGGCCAUGAAUACUGCCGCGGCUGGAGCACUGUAGAGGCAGGCGGAAUUCCGGGUGUAGCGGUGGAAUGCGUAGAGAUCCGGAAGAACACCGGUGGCGAAGGCGGCCUGCUGGGCAGUUGCUGACACUGAGGCGCGACAGCGUGGGGAGCAAACAGG
rnacentral:rRNA from 1 species